UUUAUUUUCAGGUUUCUCUUCAGAGUCUCAUGAGCUACUAGCUCAUCCAAGGGCUGAUGGAGAUGCUGAAAAUGCACCCAGCUUGCUACCAGUGUGCUGUGAACAUGCUAUACAAGUAGAUGAAGGAGAAUCAGAAGAAAUGCCCCGGUUAUUGCCUUAUGAUGCAGAAGAGGGCAGUGAUGACUGUUUGGAAAUGUGUGAUGGAGAAGAGCCCCAGGAAGCCUCUAGCUCCCUAGCAAGAUGUGGGUCAGAGACGUUUGCGCUAAACACUCCCCAAAUCACUAAUGAAGGAGAACCAGAGAAAAGGCUUGGUCUACUACCGGGUGAAGGAGAAGUAUCUAGUGAACUAAAAGAUCACCAAAUGAAUGAAGAAGAAGAAUCAGAAGAGCUUGCUUCUAGCCUGCUACGUGAGGAUGUACCAGAUACUGUGGAUACUGGAAGCAACUCUGCUUUGGAAAGUACCAAACCCAAGAGGAAAAGAAGUAAGAAUAAAUACGAAUUUACUUGCUUUUGAUGUUGCAA
rnacentral:lncRNA from 1 species